rnacentral:tRNA from 2 species
GCCGCCCUAGCUCAGUUGGUAGAGCAUCGCAUUCGUAACGCGAAGAUCCGGAGUUCGAUCCUCCGGGGCGGCUCCA